AAGGAUAUGGGAAGUCAUCAACAGAAGGUCAAAAGGUUGUUAAACAGUGAAGGAGAAGUGCUGUAUCACAUAACUGAUAAAGGAGGAGACCAUUGGAAUGGCGAAGGUGAAGAGCAUGUGGUAUGUCAUGAUGAGAGCUUUGAGAGAGAAAGCCAUCUUCUGUUUUCUGGGGGCGAAGCGAAGGCAAAACUGGUCUUUGGAGAGCAUGAUCAGAUUGACGAGGAAACGCUUUGAAGAAAUUCAAGAAUGGUUGAACUUUUCUGAUGAAUACCUUAAUAAGUGGAAGAAUCUGGGUGCAUUAUUCCUAAAAUGGUUGGAGAAGGAAAUUGAAGAGAAGAGAGUGUCAGAGAGAAAUAUCAGCCUCAGUUUCCAAUACUUUGGGCAAGAUUCAUGAGAGAAGCAGGUGUAACAGAUGCUUUUAUUUCUUCUUAAGUAUUUUAUGAUACUUAGUAUGUCAGUUUGUAUCUUUCCAAGUGACUGUUAUUUAACUUUUACACAUGCCUUAUAUAACUGAACAGUGCUUCAUUGUAGAACAGUAGCAAGAACUGGAGAUCUCACAGUGGAGUGAUAGAGACUACCUAUUUCCUUUAGAUAUAGUGUAAUGAAAAAAUGCUGUUCGUAUGUUGUAUCCUGUGAUCAAAGAUUUUGAUAGCACCUAUAUUUUACUAAGGAAUGCGUGUUUUUUUCACUUCCAUUUUGUUUACAAGCACUUAAUCACCAAGAAGUGAAUUAAUAGGCUUACCAGAUGUAAACUGUGUAUCUUAUUCCUUGUAUUUCUGGUAAAAGGUUCAUGUUCUUAUUACUAUUAUUAUUGUUGUUAUUAUUGUAUGUUGUUGUUGUUCUUCCUCUACUUCUCUUAUUAUUAUUAUUAUUAUUAUUACUACUACUACUACUACUACUACUACUACUACUACUACUACUACUACUACUACUACUACUACUACUAUUACUAUUACUAUUACUAUUACUAUUAC